rnacentral:rRNA from 1 species
CCGCACAAGCGGUGGAUUAUGUGGAUUAAUUCGAUGCAACGCGAAAAACCUUACCUACCCUUGACAUGCUAGGAAGUCCGCAGAGAUGUGGAUGUGCCCGAAAGGGAACCUAGACACAGGUGCUGCAUGGCUGUCGUCAGCUCGUGUCGUGAGAUGUUGGGUUAAGUCCCGCAACGAGCGCAACCCUUGCCAUUAGUUGCGACAUUUAGUUGAGCACUCUAAUGGGACCGCCGGUGACAAACCGGAGGAAGGUGGGGAUGACGUCAAGUCCUCAUGGCCCUUAUGGGUAGGGCUUCACACGUAAUACAAUGGUCGGUACAGAGGGCUGCCAACCCGCGAGGGGGAGCUAAUCCCAGAAAGCCGAUCGUAGUCCGGAUUGUAGUCUGCAACUCGACUGCAUGAAGCCGGAAUCGCUAGUAAUCGCGGAUCAGCAUGUCGCGGUGAAUACGUUCCCGGGUCUUGUACACACCGCCCGUCACACCAUGGGAGUGGGUUCCACCAGAAGUAGGUAGCCUAACCGCAAGGAGGGCGCUUACCACGGUGAGAUUCAUGACUGGGGUGAAGUCGUAACAAGGUAACC